GCCCUUACAUCAGACUGCAGGUGUGUUGGGGGGCUCCGCUCACUUACCGCUCUGUGCUCCGAUCCACCGAGGGGUGAGUUGCAGGGUGUCGGUGAGGGAGGCCCGGGGCCCCAGGUACAGGCCUCCCCGGCUCUCUUCGGCCCCAGAGCUGCCUC